rnacentral:tRNA from 1 species
GCGGCCGUGGUCUAACGGUAUGAUGUCAGCCCUCCAAGCUGACGGCGCGGGUUCGACUCCCGCCGGCCGCA